rnacentral:rRNA from 1 species
UACGUAGGGGGCAAGCGUUGUCCGGAUUUAUUGGGCGUAAAGAGCGUGUAGGCGGCCAGGUAGGUCUGGUGUGAAAACUCGAGGCUCAACCUCGAGAGGUCAUCGGAAACCAUUUGGCUAGAGUCCGGAAGAGGAGAGUGGAAUUCCCGGUGUAGCGGUGAAAUGCGCAGAUAUCGGGAAGAACACCUAUGGCGAAGGCGGGUUGCUGGGCUGACACUGACGCUGAGGCGCGAAAGCUAGGGGAGCAAACAGG